GAGUCACGGAAGAAUCGACAGCUGCUGCUUUUGCGGCCAAUAAACUAAAGAGGACUCGAGGCAAGGGCAGUUAAGUAGCCCUCUCCCUCUUCCCUUGAAAACGGUAUGAAAAUCGAAGGGGGUGAAGAACGAAGAAAAAGAGAGAGAGAGAGUCAUCGAAUUUUACGACGUCGUAUCGAUGCAAUAUUCCUCUUGGAUGGCUCGUGGAAAUAUCUUUGGAUGGCACAGCCGCAUCCUUCCCAGUCUCUCACUUUAAAACGCGGGGGCCGUUAAAUGCGAAAAUAGGGUAACUACCCUAAAUAAUUUCCAACCUCGAAGGGGGAACUUAGAAGCGAAUGGAAAAGAGUGGAGCGAUCUCGAAAUUGGAGAAAAAAACAAGGAGCAACACAUCUCGAAGCGGAAAAUCGUAUGCGCACGCCUUGUAAAAAUAUCCAAGGGGAUCUGGAGAAGAUUAGUUAACAAGAUUACUUACGACUGUCAGCGCUCUGUAAGCAAGUUUCUGAAUAGGGGUAUGGCGGGUUGUGGCGCGGAUGAUCUACUAUGCAGUCAGCCAGCCAUGUCAACGAUAUACAUUCAGCCCCGGCCCGUGGUGCAAGUAGGGCUGCAAUGUCUGCGAAACGGUAAUGGAACGGCAAACGACCUGGGAUUUACCCCUUGGAACAUUCUAACAAAGCUCUAGGCCACCGCAGCAGCCACCUACCACGAAGAGAGGAGAAAAAAAAUUGAACGGAUGGGAUGCUUGCAUGCUAUCUUCGACUCGAAUGGAUCGAGUUAAUCCUGUAGAGAUGAAUUUUAAAUCUUUGCUAAUCUCCAUUCGUGAUUGUCGUUUCGACGAUCAAUCGAAAAUGUAGUAAGAGUAAAUGUGAUGAUAUUUAUUGACUCUCCAAGGUGCCAUACUCUCUUUACGCCCGAGCUGACAUAGAUAACGGUCUAAAAGCCUCGCGAGGUGAAGUCGACGAUAUGACGGCCACGAAAGAGCUCGUAAAAAUCGCUAACGGAAUUAAUGGCCUCGAUGGCCGUGAAGACGAGGAGCAACAACGUCGUUAAAAAAUCCAUCGAGUGACGACGGGCCAACGUUUCCAACGUCAAUUACGUUUUCGCACGUCGAAAGGAGAAAAUUUUUCGAAGGGUUGGCGAACUUUGUUCGCGGUGGUAAUCCGUUUUAAAUCGACAGGGAAGGGGGGAGGGGCGAAAAGUUGCGGAGAAAAAUGUCGCAGCGUCGACGAGAUGGAAUUGAAUUCGGUCGAAUUCAGAACGCCUUGUACUAGGGAGCUUCGAGGUACACGUAGGAAUAUAGUAGGGAAUCAUCUAGGGAGAUAUUUUUCGAGGAAGGGGAAACUAUAGUGGUGACGCGCGUUGUUGGAAUCUAUUUAUUUAGAGUGCAAAUAUGUUCGAUAACAUAGUAAUUUUCACUCUUAAUGUAGCGUCUAUUUUAGUGAAAAAUAAUUCUUGAAGACAAGUUUCUAAAGUUUUGCUUUCAAAUGUAUUUACAUGAUAAGAAUUGCUAGUUAACUUUGGACUGUUCCAUUCAACAUCUAUAUUUAUUCUUUGAAGAAACUCUUUCAAGAACAACAAUUUUAAUUUUAAUUUUAAUUUUAAUUUUUCUCACAAAUAUAUUUGUACUAUAAGGUUAGACAAAUUUUGCAAGUCUUAAAGUUUAAAUUAAAUUGUAUUAUGGUAAAGUUUUUAGUUUAUUUGGUAUUUAUGUUAGCAAAAAUGAUAAUUUUGAAAUAGAAGGAAUGAUGUGUCAACGAUCUUUGCGAUGUAGGAUCCAAUUUCCUUGUUUAAUUAUUAUAGUUACGUUGAUCGUGGUUAGUAUUUGGAUGGAUGCCAUUUGGAAAGUCCGUGUAUUGAUAUCAAAAUGUUUCUUAAACUAUAAACUUCGGCUAAUGACCGCAUUGGUUAUGACAAUCGAUAUUGGUUACAUAACGAAUAAUAAACAAAUAGCAAAUAAUAAUUUUGCCAGCAGAGGGAUCCAAUGAUUGCAAUUUGAUAAUCAAGUUAAUACUUGAUUGUGUACAGUAGCUCGAAAUCCACUUUAAACCACUUUAGAGUCUCAACUAAUAAUUACAGCAGUAGAUUAAAUACCAAAUAACAAACAAAUAUCAAAUAAUAAUUUUGCCACGUAGAAAUCCACUGAUUCCAAUAUAAUAACCAAAGUUAAACUACAUUGGUCACAGUUAAUACUUGGUUGAUAUAUCAUUUAAUAAUGACUCAAAACUCAUUUAUGUAACAACUACAUUAAAUAAUGAACAACAGAACAUUUAAUUUUGUCUAACAUACUUUCAAAAAAAAUAUAAAAAUAAUUCUGUAACUACAUUAUAUGUGAUAAGUUAUAAUAUUCGAAACGGUUAUGUAGAGAAAUAUGUAAUUAAAAUUUAAUUACGUUAAUCACUAUAUAAUAUAUAAUUGGCAAUAAUUCAAAACUAUCUUUAAUUUAACAAAUACAUUAAAUAACGAACAACAAAUAAAACACGGAUACUUAUAAAUCCUAAUUAGUUUCAAGAAACGAUAAAAACGACUCUGUGUCUAUCAUCUACUGUGUACAUGGUACACAACAGGUUGCGAUAGUCGAAUCCUGAAACGGUGUCACGUGGAAGAACAGGGGUGCGUGGACGUAACAACGGGCCGGUGGCACCCUUCGAUGAUCCUUAGGGGGAUAUAGACAAUGAUUAAUCACGCUCGAGUGGCUUCGCUUCCCUCUUGGUGAUGCUCCCUAUGUAUCGGUCCAUCUCUUCCUCCCUUGACCAGCGUCCACGGGAUGAAGGUUUAUGCGCAUUCGUUUCAGAUUUCAAACGCUUUGCCACUUCGAACAUCGGUAAAGCGUAGGAAUUCUAAAACAAAUACCACGCUUUUAUGUCGUUGCCCCGUUUCUUUCCUUUCUUUAACGUUCCUUCCGUAGUAGUAAGUGUCGCUCGAUUCAUUCAUUUUCUUUCGAUCGAAAUCCAAUUCUUCCGAGAUGGAUAUCAGAUUAGAUUAGAUAAGAUUUUUUUUGUUCAAUAAGUUUUUUUGAAUUGAAAUGUUUGAAGGGAAGACAAGAUUUAUAGUAGGAUUUUUAACAAUAUAUUAAAAUUUAAAUAAAACGAUAUCGAUUGGAUUGAAACGUACAUUUUGAUGUAUUAUCAAGAAGUAGAUUAAAUUAAUAGUAAUAUGUCAUUGCUUGAAAUUUAUUAAUGAAUAAAACAAA
rnacentral:lncRNA from 1 species